AAAUCAUGGUUAAGACAAUCCCUAGUGUACUCCUUGAAACGUUCUAACGCUUUAAAGAAUGACUCCGUGGCUCUUUGCUUGAAACUUGAGAUUUUGUUCCUCAUGGAACU
rfam:Arabis alpina cultivar Pajares Aa.chr2_contig_2317, whole genome shotgun sequence.